UCUCGCUCCUCCUCCUCUCUCGGCCACGACGCGCGAUGGUUUCCAUUUUUGUUCCUCGAUCAAUCACCAUGCUCCCUGUCACCUGUUUCUCCGUCUUCUUUCGGCCUUAGGUUUCAUACUCUCUCUCUCUCUCUCUCUCUCUGCACAAAUACACUCUCGAGUUAUCCCUCUCUAUUGCACUUUCUUCUGGUGAUCGUGAAUUUUCAUCAUACACAAAGGCGCUGAGGUUCUGCUUCUUUGCGGUACAGAGUUCAUGGAGAGAAAGUGCUAAAUAAGAAAUUUGUAAAUAGAUCAUUCCUUGCAGUUUAAUCAAGUAAUUAAUGAUGCACGAGGCAACCACUUUGUUAUACAAUUGCGACGCCAAAUUUGCAACAGUGGCCAGAUGGUAAUUUGGUUUGCACAGGCGGGACAGUGCCAUAGUAUACAAAGGCGAGUCGGCAAAGCACAGACAGGAAAUGUUUUCGGAGCUAAACAUGGCUGCCACUGGCAAUCAGCUGGUUAUUGAGGUUGAAGAACAUCGAUGUGGCGGCGGCGGCGGCAGGAUCCUGCCUUUGUCCUCUACA